UAUGAUGCUUGGUAGUGAAAAUUCCAAUAUUAUUUCACUUCCAAGACCAAAUCAACCAGCUUUUAUGACAAGAAAAUGUGGUAAUAAUAAUAACACAACUUCUUCUUCUAAUGCUAAGUCUGAUGGUGUCUCUAAUAAUCAACUUACUGUCACCAUCGAAAUGGGUCGAUAACGCACUGCUAGAAAUCAGUCAAUUUUUCUUCGUGAAAUCUGAUAGA
rnacentral:misc_RNA from 1 species